AUUCAGCCAUCUGAAAACAGAGACGUGGAUUGUCUGACGUGGAUCCGCAGUAAUAUAGCUAUACAAAUAGUGAGAUAUCUUCCUCAUGUUGUUGGGAGGCUUGGCAGGUAAUGUGAGAUUUCUAUAAUUCUCCUGUGACAUUUACUUUGAAGUUAUAGUAUGAUCCAACAAUACAGCACUCCGGAAUAUGUUGUUAUUUUAUCAUUAAUAAUAAUAAUCCCUUAAUUUGUUAUUUUACAGUGAAUGCUGCAAGGCAUAUGUAUGUAAUACUGUUUCAAUUUAAAUUAAAUCUAUUUUUUCUUUACAUUUAUUUUGACAUUUGCUUUUUUUUCUUCACCACAAUAACCGGCGUAAUUCUAGGCUGGAGGCGUCUGGCUGUCUAUAAUGAUGACUUCUUAGAUCACAAAGUAUGUGAUGUAAAGACUGAAAUCUCAAGGUCAUUCCCAAUGGUUUAGAUUAUUGGACAAUCUCAGUGAUUUCAAAGUGAAUUUAAUAUUUUACGCCACAACCGCCGAGAAAGGAUAAAAGUCCACAUUCCACAUUUUAGUGUAAAACACAGUCUUUGUUAUGCUAAUCCUGAUUCCGCACCCUUAAGCCUUAAAGUGGAAUCAUCAUCCCUGUAAAUCACACGACUAGAUAAAACAUUGAAAAUCACCUAUAACUUGUGUUAAACUUUUUUGUGAUACGCUGCUUUUCCUUUUAAAAUGUAUAUUAAAGAUUUAGGAGGAACGCCACAAUCCCGGCACAGUUGCGUACACCAGUGGUUUAUCCUGGUUUUGUGCUGCCCUAGGCGUACACAUUGAAAAUGAGGAGGACAAAUAGAAACAUAACGUUGUCUAAUUUCUUACCUUUGUCUUUGCUGAUUGACAGGUGCCAAUGACAGAACAGGGAGCCAAGAUGGAGGCAUCCAGUUGCAGAAUAAAAAGGUACGGAUUCAGAUGAGUUCCACAUUGAAAGAGCUCACAGAGCCCUGCGCCCCCCUAGAAGAAGCGGCCUGCCACGCGAUGUCAUUUGCUGCCUACUAUCCUUCCA